CGGAAUGAAGUUCACUGGAUUGAGUAUUUAGCGUUAAUUAAAAUUUACGGGAUAGUUCCGUCUUUCUAG
rnacentral:tRNA from 1 species